UCAGGUCCAGGUCAUGAUCAAGUCCCCAAUCGUGCUCUGCAUUCAGCAGGGAGUCUGCUGGAGGAUUUCUCUCCCUCUCCUUCUGCCUCUCUUGCUUGUCCUGGUAAAGGUAUAAUGAGACAAAUAUAUUCAAAUAUUGCUAAAUGGCAUUAGAAAUUGGGUCAUAUAUUUUCAGAAAUACUUGUUCAUAUGUAUUCAGAAGUUCUAUUACAUUGGUGCCUGGCUGGCUCAGUCAGUAGAGCAUGCGAUGCUUGAUCUCAGGGUUGUGAGUUCAAGCCCCACAUUGGCCAUAGAGAUUACUUAAAAAAAUAAAAUCUUUUAAAAAUAAAAAAAUAAAAAAUAAGGCUCUAUUACAAGCUUUGUACCCUCUGGCCCACUAAUCCCUUUCCUGAUAAUCUAGCCAAAGGUAAUAAUCCAAAGCAGGAGAAAAGAAUCGGUUUUUAUAUGCGAAUGUAUAUUAUAGCAUUAUUUAUAAUCAUGGAAAAAGGAGAGCCCCCAAUAGGGGAAUAGUUAAAUAAAUUACAAUGCAUCUAUAUGAUGAUUAUGUAGUUUUUUCUUUUAUAUACUUUUCAUUUUGAAGGAAAUUUACAGAAAACUUAAGUUACAAUACAAAGAACUCAGUCUUUCCUGGACCCCUGGAGAAAGAGGAAAGAAAAUUCUCGUGGCAACUUUGGACUUACACAUCACUUCAGCUCUCAAAUACGGCAUGUUUGUAAAUGGUCCUGUUCUGCUCACGCCACCUUUAGUCUCAUCUCAGUGGCACCCCUGUGCAGGCUGCAUCUCACUGUUCUGUCAAAUGACAAAAAACCCCAAGAGCAAAAGUGGGGAUACGGGAUGAGAAACCCGGGACAGAGCCGGCUAGUGUGGGCCGGCCUCCCGUGUGCUCCAGAUGGCAGAGCCUGGUCCCAUGGGAUCCCCCCUCUCUUGGGAGAGAGGUGCUCGGCUGGCUCAGCUGGGACCCACACUGCUGUGUGAUUAAAAGUAAUUGAAAGUAAUCUCUAUUACUUUUUAAAAAGAAAAGG